ensembl:lncRNA
AUACAUGCAGCUACCAGCCUGUGGGUACCUCACAGGCAUCUACUCGUCACAGCCACAGCAGAUGUCUUGGCUUCCCUGCUCCACUGUAACUGUUCCUUCCCUGCCUGCUCUUUUCCAUUUCAGAAAAUGGCACCACUUCCAAUCCAGCUUCUCAAAGCUGGAACCCAGGGCUGUAUCCUAGAUUUCUCUCUUUUACUCAGUUGCUUCUGCCUUCUCGAAUGCCUCCACUGCUCUCCUGCCCCCACCUCCAGCACACCCCACCAAGGAGAGCCUCCCACUCCCUUCCCAUUCCACACCUGACCCUUCCCACACCCUCCUCCACACGGCAGCCAGAUGUGGACCUGCCAUGACUCAGAGAGAAUCCAAGCUCCUCCACGCCAGGCACAGGUGUCUUCUCUGGGUGCCAUCCCCAUCCUGCCUACCUCUCCAACCUCAGCUUCUGCUGCUGUCUGCAGCAUCCUCGCUGUAUUUAAGGCUGCAGAGUCAUGGAAGGGACCUGAGUGUGGUGUCACCUCUUCCUGACGUCAGAAUGAAUUCAGUUAAUCUCAGGAACAUUCUACAGUGGGAGUCACCUGCUUUUGCCAAAGGGAGUUUGACUUUCAUGGCUCAGUAAUCGUAGGCAGGGGUAGGGGGAUCUUGGCAGGAAGGUGUCAGAGGAUGGUGGCCCUGGGCUGGUCAAUGGGCUGUACCAUUUAAGAGAGAGUCUGACUGCUGUCACCCACAGGCCCGUGACAGCCCACAUGAGCCUCCCUCCUGGCCUUUUUCUUUCUGCCCAGGAAAUUCUUAUAGUCAGCUUUUCCUUUUUCCUUUUUCUUGCUGUGGCUCCUAGUUAGACAAUUUAUCACAGAGCUGCAAGUGGACAUAAACAUUUUAUCCUGUACAUGUAGACACAGUCAGUGAGUUUAAUACUAUGGAGAACAUUGCUCAUUUGCCUCAAUUUACCUUUUUUAGAGAGAAAUAUCCCUGAGAUCAUUGCCAGUUAUAGGAGUAACAUGGUUAGAGGUGAGAGGUUCAUCUUUCGAAAUUUUCCAGGAAAACCGAGGUCUACUCAAGGAGUCACUGUCCACAGACACUUACCUGCAAUGCUCCAUAUCUAAAAAGCUCUGAAAACCAAGUGUAGUUUUUCCCUCCUUCCUUUGGUGGCAAAGCUAGAACUGAACUCAUUUGAUGGCAAGCCCUUACCUGGCCCGAAGGUAUUUGUGGCAAAUGUGACCCAAACUGAUGUAAAUCCGCUUAUAGUUUGAAUUUUUCCUUUUAGUGUGACUAUUCAAAACUUCUAUCUCAGAAACGUUAAUAUGCUUGAUUUGAUUGCAUCUGAAAUCUUUUUCACUUUAAGAGCUCGUUCUUAGUCUCCAAUUGCUCUGGGGAACCUGUGGUGUAGUUCCAAGUCGAGUCUGAAGGCCUGAGGACCAGGAGAGCUGAUGGUGUAAGUUCCACUCCACGCGCAGGAGGAAAACCAAUGUCCUAGCUUGAAAAAAGGCAGAGGGAAUGAAUUCUCUUUUAGUGAAUUCUCUCUUUGUUCUAUUCAAGCCUCCGAUGGAUUAGACGAGGCCCCCCCACAUUGUGGAGGGCGACUUGCUUUACUCCGUCUUCGGAAUCGAAUGUUCAUCUCAUCCGGAAACAUCCUCACAGACACGCCCAGAAUAGCGUUGAGCCAAAUAUCUGGGCACCUCCUGUCCCAGUCCAGUUGACACAUAAAAGUCACCAUCACAUUCGUCUCCCUUCACUAAAACAGAAGCCCUAUGAAGGCAGGGACUCUAUCCGUUUCCUUCUCUGUGGUGUCCCCAGCACCUAGAAUUCCACCUGGCUCCAAGUGGCUGCUUAGUAACUGGUUCUUGAGCGAAUGGAUGAAACUAACCCAUCUCUCCCUGGAUUGAGGGUCUGGAGGCCCGGGAUGGUGCAUGUUCAGUGGGUUUGUGCCUAAGCUGGGACUCAACCCAGGGCGCUGUUAUCUAUUGCUGCAUCAAACUUAAUAGCUUCAAAUGACGUUUAUUAUGUCAUAGUUUCUGCAGGUCAGGAAUCAGGCGCAGCUUAGCUGGCCCUGGCCUCUCUGUUCAAGGUCUCUCGCGGUGUCGGCCAGGGCUGCAGUCCACUGGGGGCAAAUCCACUUUUAAGUUCACGUGGUUGUUGGCCGAAUUCUGUUCCUUUAGGGUUGUUAGAUUGAGGACCUCAAUUCUGUGCUGCCUGUUGGCUGGAGGCGGCCUCAGGUCCUUGCCACGUGAGCCUUUCCGCUGUGGGAGGUUGCUUCCUCCAAGGGUGCCAGCUGAGAAGGCAGCGGAGAGAGCCUGCUAGCAAGAUGGAAUCAUAAUCAUCCGUAACCGAAAUACGGAAGCAGCAUCCAUCACCUUCGUCACAUUCAAUUGAGUCAUAGGUACUGUCCACACUCAGAAGGAGGGGAUUACUCAAAGCUAUGAAGACUAAGAGAUGGGGAGCAGGUGGCCAUCUCAUCUUUGAGUCUGCCUGUCACAGGUUGAACUUUCUGAGAAUUUUUGAGUCAUAAACCAAGGGCAAUAAAUCUGGGAUCAUCAAAUGCCAGCUCGUGGGUUAGUGGCUGCUUAACGAAGAGUUCUGAUGGGCGUGGAAACAGAGGCGUGGUGUGGUGUCUGAUGGCCCAGAUCUGAUCGUUGAGGAAGUGAACUGGCUGGAGCAUGGUCUGAACUCGGGAGCUCAAGAUACAGACCGCAAGCUGUCUGUCCUUAAGCACUGAAGUCCUCAGAAAUCUGGAGCCACGGACAACUUAUUGUGUUCCAGUCCUAGGAUUUAUUCUUGAUUAGGACAAAGUCAUGGAAUGGAGUGAGCCUGUCUAUGAGCAAACAACCGAUGGUGAUGAGUCCUGAGAUGCACCACCUGUCACUGCUUCCUUUAGGCUUUUUAAACAGCUGUGUAGACUCCCAAUGGGUGUUUGAGUUGGAAGCCUCCUUAGACAUCAUUGCGUCCAGCUCAAACUCCAACCCGGUUCACCCCUGGCUGAUCGGCUUCAUGCUGGGAAGGAGACCACCACCUUCUGAGCCAGCUCGUCCGCUUGUAGACCCAAGGGAUUGAUGGACACGUCUCUGUCCACGGUGCCGAAGUCUCCCUCGGUGCGCCCACCUCCGCUGGUCUGCCUUCUCAUCAGUCUUCCACAAGACAGCCCGGGAAAUCUUCAGCCCCCGACCCCCGAUUGUAUUCCCAGUUCCUUUAAAAAAAAAAAAAACAAAACUCCCUAUCCUGUCACCCUGCUCACAAUGUGCACAGGUUUUCAGGGUGGUACCAAGACUUAUAUAUAAUUUUCCAUAUAUGGUCUGACACAGGCCCUGGACACUUAGUAUUUCUCUUCCUUUUUGUUUCAAACUUUUUAUUUUGAAAUAACGUGAAACUGAUAGGGAAGUUGUAGAAACCAUACAAAGAACUCCUCUGUGCUCUUAACCCAGGUGCACUGAUUGGUACUUGGUGUUUUUAGAAAACAGGACGGGCCCGUGACAAGGCUGUGAGGGUUCAGCAGAUCGUCUGUGUGGCCUGUGCACUGGGAUUCAGGGAAUGCGGUCGCAAGUUGCAUAACUUUUGGGGGACCUGUCACACACAGUUACCAUGGGCUGGGUUUGACAUUAAACACAUUCUCCAGCUCAUUUGCAAUUCUUGCCUUCUUCCUUCUGGCACUCACCCAUGAGAAACCUCGGUUCAAGGAGAAACCUCUGGUAAGAGAGUCUUGUUAGUUUUAGUCCAUCAUGGCAGCUUGUCAAAGUCUUGUUGACUGUCUCGUGAAACAUGUUCAUCACUCAUCUUAGCUUUGUCUUAUCUGCAGAUUUGAAAGAAAUGGCUUCCAGACCUUUAUUCAGUUUGUUGAUUAAAUGACUAAAGGUAGUUCUGGGCACACCUUCCUUAUGCUGAGGGAAGUUAUUAACUGAUUGUUUCUUUGGCCACAAAUCCUUCUGAUUCUAUUGUUAUUGUCUAGGCUAUAUUUCCUCUUAUUUUGCACAUGGUUAUCAUGAAGACAUUGUUUUACAUGGCCUGCUGAAAUCCACAUACCCCAUGUUAAUUGUAGCAGUUUCCAAACUAGGUUCCUUGACUAGUCUCAUGAGUAUUUAUGGAUAUUCUUCCAAACAUGGGUCCUCUCAUCAAAUGUUUAAAAAUGAUAUGUACUAGGGGCCAGCCCAGUGGUGCAGCAGUUAAGUUCGCGUGUUCUGUUUUGGGGGCCCAGAGUUGGCUGGUUCAGAUCCCGUGUGAGGACAUGGCACCACGUGGCAAGCCAUGCUGUGGCAGGCAUCCCACAUAUAAAGCAGAGGAAGAUGGGCACGGAUGUUAGCUCAGGGCCAGUUUUCCUCAGCAAAAAAAGGAGGAUUGGCAGCAGAUGUUAGCUCAGGGGUAAUCUUCCUCGAAAAAAUAUAAAAAUAAAAAUGAUGUGUACUAUAUUCACCCUUUGGGACAAUUCGCUACAUGUAUUAGCAUACGAUAUGCUCCAAAAAGUCCAGCAAUAAUAAUACAUUUUCAAACUCAUUUUGUUUGAUCAAGUGCAUUGCAAAUUCCUCCAUCAAACCAUUCCCGUUUUUAUGGUGACCAUUUUAAGGAACACUAGUGUUAAGAGAAACACCGUGAAGGAGAAGCUGGUCUAUAACAUUCCACUCCUUCACUGUGCAAGUGACCCCACCCCGAGAAAGAGAUGAGGUUACUUUGACAGUGUUCAAAACCAUCCAUUCAAUAAUCAAUCCUAAAUAUUAAUUUUUUUUCUGGUAAAUCAGAAUUAAUCUUAAUGGUCUAUAAUUUCCUAAUGGUUUAUAGUUGCUUUUUCCCUCUUUCUGAAAAUGUGAUUUUCUUUUUCAACAUUUGGUGUGUUGUCAUCUUCUUAAUCACUGUAAUUUCUCCAAUCUCACUCACUGGGUUCUGCGAUCACUGUUGCAAGUUCUGUUAGGCCUGUGAGGCAAUGUACAAGUUGAGUGGCUUUGUCUUUGCUCUGGAGGGGUGUCUGGGUAACUCUUCUUGGUGUUUCACAGUUCUUGGCUCAGUGCUGUGUAUGCAGUAGGCUCUUAAUACCUGACCUUCGUUCUAGGCCAGUGUAAGACCUUUGGAAACCUGAGUCGCUGAGCAUUCUCAACAAAGUCUUUAAACAAUAAUUAGAUGUGUGGCUACGUCUAGGCCGCCAGUUGUUUUUACCUACCCUCUCUGUAUUAGUUGUCUACAGCUGCCAUGACAAAGUCCCACAGGCUGGGUGGCUCCCCCCACAAACACUUAUUUCCUCACACUUCUGGAGGUUGGAAGUCUGAGAUAAGGCAUCUGCAGGGUUGGUUUCUCCUGAGGCCUCUCUCUUUGGCUGGGAGAUGACCGUCUUCUCACUGUGUCUGCACAUGACCUUUUCUUUAUAUCUGUGUCUCUCUGUGCAUUCUGAUCUCCUCUUCUUAUAAGAAUAGCAGUCAUACGGGUUGGGGCCAACCCUAAUCACCUCAUUUUAACUUACUCACCUUUUUAAAAGCCCCAUCUCCAAACACAGACACAUUCUGAAGUCCUGGGAGGUUACGGCUGCAACAUAGGAUUUUUGGUAGGAUGCAAUCCAGCCCAUAACACUCUGUCUUUUCUCGUUUUAUUCGUCUCUUGAAUCACUUGUAUUUGAAUCAGAAUUCUGCACCUCGGGAGCCCCCAUCCUGUGUGAGUCACUCAAACCCCUGAUCAUGGAGUCAGCCCUCUCUCCUCUGAACAGCUUCCUUCUGCCUCCCCAAGGCAUGGAGUCCAUGUCCUGGUCACCUGGUGUCCUGUCCUUCCCCGCUGUGUAAUGUGUGAUGUG